CGAAAAUACCCUCUUUUAUUUUCCUUCCUCUUUUCUUCUUUUUUUCCUUUUCUUCUUUUUCCUUUUCUUCAACCCGAAGACAGAAGGCCGUUCAAAAGAAAAACGUAAACCAGAGCCUUUGAACUCUCCCGCGUCUGCAGUUACCCCCUUCAACUCUCUCCCGCCUCCGGUGAACGUUUUUCUCUUCCGUCCAUUUCUUCUCCACUUCCAUCCAUUUCUUCUCCACGACUCUCCGCUAUAUUUUCCGAUUUCAACUUGUUCACGGAACGUCUCCAUUUCUUCUGCACGGGUCUCUGUUUUACUUUCGACUUCAUCUCCGGCGGACGCUUCUCCACUUCCAUCCAUUUCGAUUUCAGGUUUGUUUUCACCGGACCUCUCCAUUUCUUAUCCACUCCUCUACAUUGGCAGUGCCGUAUCCAUCAUCUUUGAAGUCAAGUUUCAGUAUGGCUUCGACAUCAACUAACGGUGCCAAAUUUGCUCGAUGCUACUGGAUUCUUUGUUAGGAGAGGCGGAUCAUCAACACACAAGGAACCUUGGCCACUUGUCAUUGUCGACUCCAUUCCACUUCAACGCAACAAUAGUGAUUGUGGUGUAUUUACAAUUAAGUAUUUCGAAUAUGAAGCUUCUGGUUUAGAUGUAGCUACAUUAUGUCAAGAAAACAUGUCAUAUUUUAGAAAACAAUUGGCAUUUCAAUUAUGGACCAA